AAUCACUUGUUAAUUUUUCAACAAGUUUUUAGUUAUUUUUAUAUCUUUUUUUUCCAAAUAGUUCAAGAAAGACCUCUACAAAUGAGCAAUAUUUUGUUAUACAAUUUAAUGAAUCAGAAAAUGAUGACAUAGUGCUGUAUUUUACCUAUCCCUUUUUUUCAACCAAAAAUGCUUUGCUCUGAUUAGGGCCUACUUGAAUUUAAAAAUGUUCGCAGGGGGUAUGUAACCUGGGUGAGAAAACCCCAUUAAAUAUCCUCAUUUAAAUAUCCUUUUAAAACCCCAUUGAAUAUGCUUUGUAAUUAAAUCUUCCUAUUUAAAUAAUUGUAUUUAAAUAUCCUCUCAAAACCCCAUUGAAUAUUAUUUCUAAUUAAAUAUCCUAUUUAUUUUCGCGUCUUUGCGUGCGUCAUUACGUCACGCGGUCACAUGGCCACGUGCGUCAUUGCGUCACGCGGUCACGUGACCUAUUGCGGGAAGCAUAAAAUCCAGUAGUGGGCUGCUUCCAGGAAAAGCUAGAGGGACGUCGCUGCAGGUAUGUGACUCGGUUUUGACUCUAAUUACUAACUAAGCUUUUAACUGAAAUGUAAUAAUGUCGAACUGCAGGAGCCCACUACUGAAGCCGUGGGUCGUCGUGCGAGAGUGUUUAAGUGUGAUUUAUCUGCGGAAUUGGCCAUGUUGGAUGGCGAGCUAGAGCCUGAACUAGAGUGAAACUUUAUGCCUGGAACCGAACCAACCCAACUGAACCCACCCAACCGAGCCCCGGGCGGGUAGGAGGCUCCUCAGCAGCCGCUCUGUUUUUUCCCUUUGGUUUUUCAUAACGCAACAAUUUCAUUUCUGUCCUCCCUGAACUUUCACAUUUACCCUGUUACCUUCACUAAAACCCCACUGAACACUGCCACCACAACGUGGACUUUGCAAGGUCGUUUAAUAAUCUGUCGUGUUGCGCCUAUACCAUUCUUGGUAAAAACAAGGACUGAAUCAAGUACUGUAUCACAUUGUAAAUAUUGAACGUUCUGUAAUUUAUGUUGAAAAUGUGAAUGGCCAUUCGAAUUUA